CGUGCAGGCGGUUGCUUAAGUCUGAUGUGAAAGCCCUGGGCUCAACCCGGGAAGUGCAUUGGAAACUGGGCAACUUGAGUACGGGAGAGGAUAGUGGAAUUCCGAGUGUAGGGGUGAAAUCCGUAGAUAUUCGGAGGAACACCGGUGGCGAAGGCGGCUAUCUGGACCGAUACUGACGCUGAGACGCGAAAGCGUGGGGAGCAAACAGGAUUAGAUACCCUGGUAGUCCACGCCGUAAACGAUGGGUACUAGGUGUUGCGGGUAUUGACCCCUGCAGUGCCGAAGCUAACGCAUUAAGUACCCCGCCUGGGGAGUACGGUCGCAAGACUAAA
rnacentral:rRNA from 1 species